GAUGAACGCUGGCGGCGUGCCUAAUACAUGCAAGUCGAGCGAAUGGAUUAAGAGCUUGCUCUUAUGAAGUUAGCGGCGGACGGGUGAGUAACACGUGGGUAACCUGCCCAUAAGACUGGGAUAACUCCGGGAAACCGGGGCUAAUACCGGAUAACAUUUUGAACCGCAUGGUUCGAAAUUGAAAGGCGGCUUCGGCUGUCACUUAUGGAUGGACCCGCGUCGCAUUAGCUAGUUGGUGAGGUAACGGCUCACCAAGGCAACGAUGCGUAGCCGACCUGGGAGGGUGAUCGGCCACACUGGGACUGAGACACGGCCCAGACUCCUACGGGAGGCAGCAGUAGGGAAUCUUCCGCAAUGGACGAAAGUCUGACGGAGCAACGCCGCGUGAGUGAUGAAGGCUUUCGGGUCGUAAAACUCUGUUGUUAGGGAAGAGCAAGUGCUAGUUGAAUAAGCUGGCACCUUGACGGUGCCUAACCAGAAAGCCACGGCUAACUACGUGCCAGCAGCCGCAGUAA
rnacentral:rRNA from 1 species